UUCUUUCUAGCUUAAGUUUUAAAGUGUUAGUUUGAAGAGCUAAAGAUAUAGUUAAUGUGAAAGAAG
rnacentral:tRNA from 1 species